GUGUUGGCCAAAAAGUUCGUUCGGGUUUUUCUGUACAUUUAUUUAAAAGCCCAAACAGAAAACCUCAAAUGAAAUUUCUGGCCAACUCA
ensembl:miRNA